UACGUAGGGUGCGAGCGUUGUCCGGAAUUAUUGGGCGUAAAGGGCUCGUAGGCGGUUUGUCGCGUCGGGCGUGAAAACACUGGGCUUAACUCAGUGCUUGCUUCCGAUACGGGCAGACUAGAGGUAUGCAGGGGAGAACGGAAUUCCUGGUGUAGCGGUGAAAUGCGCAGAUAUCAGGAGGAACACCGGUGGCGAAGGCGGUUCUCUGGGCAUUACCUGACGCUGAGGAGCGAAAGUGUGGGGAGCGAACAGG
rnacentral:rRNA from 1 species